UACGGGGGGGGCAAGCGUUGUUCGGAAUUACUGGGCGUAAAGGGCUCGUAGGCGGCCAACUAAGUCGGAUGUGAAAUCCCCAGGCUCAACCUGGGAACUGCAUCCGAUACUGGAUGACUUGAAUUCGGGAGAGGGAUGCAGAAUUCCAGGUGUAGCGGUGAAAUGCGUAGAUAUCUGGAGGAAUACCGGUGGCGAAGGCGGCAUCCUGGACCGACAUUGACGCUGAG
rnacentral:rRNA from 1 species